rnacentral:rRNA from 1 species
CCCUUAGAUGUCCGGGGCUGCACGCGCGCUACACUGAAUGAAUCAGCGUGCUAGAAAACCUUGUUUGACAUGGCUAGGUAACCCAUUGAAAAUCAUUCGUGAUUGGGAUCGGGACUUGCAAAUGUGUCCCCUGAACGAGGAAUUCCCAGUAAGUGCGGGUCAUCAGCUCGCGUUGAUUACGUCCCUGCCCUUUGUACACACCGCCCGUCGCUGCCCGGAACUGAGCCGUUUCGAGAAGACUGAGGAUUGUUGACUUGAGGCCUUCACGGGCUUCUAGUCGGUGAAAAUCAAUUUAAUCGCAGCGGCUUGAACCGGGCAAAAGUCGUAACA